rnacentral:rRNA from 1 species
AGCAGCCGCGGUAAUUCCAGCUCCAAUAGCGUAUAUUAAAGUUGUUGCAGUUAAAAAGCUCGUAGUUGAAUUUCGGGAUUGACACAUCGGUCGUGCCUUAAGGGGUAUGAACUGGUGUAGUCAAUUUCUCACCUUCUGGAGAACCGCGAUGCCCUUAAUUGGGUGUCACGGGGAACCAGGACCUUUACUUUGAAAAAAUUUAGAGUGUUUAAAGCAGGCAUUUUGCUUGAAUACAUUAGCAUGGAAUAAUAAAAUAGGACGGCAUGAUUCUAUUUUGUUGGUUUCUAGGAUCACCGUAAUGAUUAAUAGGGAUAGUUGGGGGCAUUAGUAUUCAAUUGUCAGAGGUGAAAUUCUUGGAUUUAUUGAAGACUAACUACUGCGAAAUGCAUUUGCCAAGGAUGUUUUCAUUAAUCAAGAACGAAAGUUAUGGGGGAUCGAAGNCGAUCAGGAUACCGUCGUAGUCUUAACCAUAAACUAUGCCGACUAGGAAUCAGACGAUGUUAAUUUUUUCAAUGACUCG